UCCGCUCGUGACUUUUUUAUCUCAACCAAAACCUUAAUUAAAGAUUAAUAUGCAAAGAAAGUUGAGAUGAUACAUUAGUGCCACAAUGGGACUUGAAGCUAUGGCUUUAGGAGAAAUGUUAAGUUUCAAAUGCUUAGCAACAGGAUUGCAUCUUAUUUAUGUAAACUGAUGUCUGAAUGUCAUACCAAAAUUUGUAACAUGGCAGUCACAAAUUGACAGAGAAUAGCUAUAAUUUAUUCCGUAUUAUAUAACAGUAAACUAAUACAAAACCUCUCUCAAAGUUCCUUAUUUUUGCAAGAAAAGUUAUUGUUGUACCAUAUUGGCCAAAUGAAAGCUGACGAGAACUGGGGAAACAUUGACACAAGGCAUUUUGUGACCUACUGAGAGGACUCGUUUAACUAGAAAUAAGGCACAGGUACCAAGUGAAUUAUUCAACCAAACAGUAAAAAUUGGCCAGUAAGCUAGGAAUUGAAAGAGAAUAGCGUCAAUUUUAUGUCAUAUUAUAUAACCCAUAUGUUUUUAGUUAGUCCUAUUUAACCAAAGUAAUGAUUAAAAUAAUAUUACAUAACAUUAACCAAAAUACAAAGCCCUUGUUUACCUGGCCAGUCUACUGAUUCCUUAUCAAAUGAAGAAAAGCACAGAAUGUCUUUGUCCUCACUGAUUUCAGGGCUGAACAUCUCAUUUCCAAAUAACAAAAUUCUCUUUUUCUCUCAUAGUACCUUAUUUUUGUAUAAACGUUUGUUCAAUUACAAACUGAAAGGUAUGGUUGAGCCCUGGGGAAAUGUUGAUGCAAGUCAUUUCGUGACCUAUCGAAGAGGACCAUCCAGACUGAAAAGAAAUGUGGCCGAAAGGUUAAAAGAGAAUUAUAACGGUAAAUGGUGAAAAAAUCCCUUGAAAGGAAUACUAGAGGAUUUGCGUCUUUUAUGGAAAGCGUGUCGUCGGACCUUGACCAGAUCGAGACCAACUUUCUUCAGUCGAAUCAUUUUCUUUGUAAAUUUCAUAAGAAGAAAUAAUAACACAACUUACUUUGUCGAGGGAAACAAUGUGUCCACGAGUUGGAAAAACUGAGCGUGUAAACAAAUGGCUAAACAAACAUUGCUUCAAAAGACAGGAGGGAUAAACUCGUAAAGCAAACAAACACACGAAAAAACUAAUAGUAAAUUGAUCUGUCUGGAUAUUGAUCAUGAGUUUGAGAUGUCAACAGAGCCUGGUUAACAGCGUGAACAGGCGGACCAGAAGUGAAUUAUGAAGGCCCAAUAUAAAGUUUUCAUAGAAUAUUUCGCCCCCUAGACUUUUCUCCGAAGCCGGUUAGUCCGAGCACGUCUUACACAAAAUGCA